GAGGGCCCUCUGGGUCCAACCUCCCACCCGUGUUUAUUGUACCUUGUUGCUUCGGUGCGCCCGCCUCACGGCCGCCGGGGGGCUUCUGCCCCCGGGUCCGCGCGCACCGGAGACACUAUUGAACUCUGUCUGAAGAUUGCAGUCUGAGCAUAAACUAAAUAAGUUAAAACUUUCAACAACGGAUCUCUUGGUUCCGGCAUCGAUGAAGAACGCAGCGAAAUGCGAUAACUAAUGUGAAUUGCAGAAUUCAGUGAAUCAUCGAGUCUUUGAACGCACAUUGCGCCCCCUGGUAUUCCGGGGGGCAUGCCUGUCCGAGCGUCAUUGCUGCCCUCAAGCACGGCUUGUGUGUUGGGCUCCGUCCCCCCGGGGACGGGUCCGAAAGGCAGCGGCGGCACCGAGUCCGGUCCUCGAGCGUAUGGGGCUUUGUCACCCGCUCUGUAGGCCCGGCCGGCGCCAGCCGACAACCAAUCAUCCUUUUUUCAGGUUGACCUCGGAUCAGGUAGGGAUACCCGCUGAACUUAAGCAUAUCAAU
rnacentral:rRNA from 1 species